GCUUCCAUAGCAUAAUGGACAAUGCAGUAGCCUUCUAAGCUAUGUAUCUAGGUUCGAUUCCUAGUGGAAGUG
rnacentral:tRNA from 1 species